UUGUCUCUUUUCUUGUGAGAGAAGAAAUACAAGAUUCUUUUAGGGGUCGCUAUUAAAAAGGAUCGAAAAAAGGAAAUGGAAGAACGAAUUAUACGAAAAAAAAUAUAUAUAUAUAUUAUCUAAUCCUAUAUAAAUGGAGAUUUCCUCCAUUCUAUCGAAAACUUAUAAUUUCUGGCUAUACUUUCUCUGUCACGAGUGUUUUAGAGCAAUAAAUAUUAAUGUGAUUUAAGAAAAAAAAAUUCAUUUCUCGAAUCGACUCGUAUAAAUCGAAGUGUCAAUAUCUGGAAUAAAAAUUGUGUACAAUAUGCGUGGUGAAAAAUUCCAAAGCUUCUCUUUAAAUCACAUAGAAAUUCUUACGUUUAAGUACAUGCAAUUUAAUUUUUUUUUUUUGAGAUAUCAAUAAAUAAAAUACAAAAACUCUGUCCAGAGCGCAAUAAGAUCAAAUUUUAAUAUUUUAGAGAUAAUAAUUUUUAUUGACUCACCCUGUAUAUCGUGUUUUCAAAAACCUUUUGGCAAAGUUAUAUUCUUUGUCGUUUUUUGCAAGGAGAGGAAAUGCCUCGAGCCAAGUGUCGAUGUUCUAAAAUCGAUUUACCACCCACUCGAGGAUCUUUAUAGGCCCUACGUGAAAAGAUGUAUGACACGGUAGUCGGUUAUCGGAGAUCAGGCGAUGAAAUAACGAUUCCAAAAUGGCAAAUGAUGGGAGCACAUAAGACGCGUGAAUGGCGGAAGCUGAUCGACGACCGAAAAGAGUUCACUCUUCUCAACGUAGAAUUUCAUUACCGAGCAAAGUUUCGACAUAAACGGGAAAUUUUUCGCUAACUUUUAUGCACUUUGAAAGUCCGCGGACUGCGACGUGGAAAACGGACAUUGGAAGGUAAAAAACUUCAUCCUUCCCAGGGGAAUUCAGCGAUGCCUUGAGUGAAGACAGUUAUUAGAGGACAAAGCUAUGGAAACUAGAGGCUUAGAGCACAAAGGACAAAGUUGUGGACAGCGAAUCUAGCAAAGUGAGAGCUAAGAAACUUUAGAUCACUCUGCUGUUCAGCAAUACUGCAAAUUUAUAGACACGGGGAAUGAAAGCAGACUAAAAACUUUUUUAACUUUGGAUUACUGUUAUUCAGCAAUAUUGAGGAGAAAGUUAUGGAUAGCAAAAAUAGCAGAGUGAGAGCUUAGAACUUUAAACUACUGAGAGCAAAGCUAUGGACAGUAGAAUGAACAAAAUGGGGAAACUUUAAGCAAGUGCUAUUCAAGAAAUAUUGAGAAAAAAGUUAUAGAAUUAGAGUAGUGGAAGCUUGGAAGCUUGGAGAGAUCAGUGCAAUGGACGAUACUGAGAGCAAACUUAUGGACAAUAGAAAGGGGCUUGGAACUUUAGGCCAGCUAUAUCGAGGUAAUAGAACUAAAAGAAUAGAGAUUAGUACAAUUAUCUAUAUACUCUGAGAGUAAAGCUAAGCAAAUCCAGUGCUGCUCAGUUGCCUAUAUAAGUAUAAGUCCUAUUAGACCCAUUAUGAAUUUUGCUUUGUUAUAUAAAAAAAUUGUUUAAAAAAUAAUAAUGCAU
rnacentral:lncRNA from 1 species